rnacentral:lncRNA from 1 species
UUCACUUGAGAAACACAAAAAUAUUUUUUUUGUGUGUAAAGCUCAACCUACCAGUGGUAUGGAGAGUAGAUGUUGGCAUGGUAUUUGGCAAGCAAGCAGAAGACAGAAGAGUCCAGGACCGAUGUUGAUUUGUCCUGCUGAGACAUAUUAAGGACUCAGAGACAAGAGCAAAUGAUGCAGAGGUGAUCAAACCCAGGAUACAUGCUUUUCAGACUUCCAGGACGUGGUCACCUUGAGAUGCUGUGUGUCAGGCCCAUCAGGGCAACUUCCAGAGCUGGGUGUGUGAGUCUCAGCACAGGAGAGGUAUCUGGGCUUGGGGACCAGAUGCGGGGAUCAUAUGAGGCCGGCCGGUCAUUGAAACCAUGAGACUGAUUGUGACUUAGAGAAAAAGAUCCAGUGGAGAGAGUGAAGGCGGGACCCUCUGCAGCCACAGACUGUAAGGGGCAGAGGGAAGAAGGAAGGCCUGUCUCAUUUCUCAAGGGCAGAGAAGACAGAGAAGCUGGAGCAGAGGGUCGGGGGACACCAGCCACCAGGAGGCUCUUCAAAGAAAAGAGGAGGAAACUACAUCUCAAACCCAGAGUAUUAACAUUAAGGAGUCAUGUGAUCAAAGUGCAUAAAAGCAGUUAUUCCUAGAAACUUGGGUGAUUCCUUGGGUGGUUCCGUAUGAAUGCACUUGUGUGUACACAGUGUGGACAUAAUUCUAAACCUUGUGCUGCAAAUCUCGUGUAGAUUUAUAUGGAACUCUGGUAAAUUACUAGAUGCCUAUUUCACUUACUCGUGAAUUCAUUUAACAAAUGUUAGUUGUGCAUAAGACACUGGGCUGGAGUGUUAUUAUCUCUUUCUCUGGGAAUUGAAAGAGAUUUUGGUGGCAGGCCCUUCUCCUGUGGUAGCAGUGCCCCCUGUCCUGGGGAGUGGACUGUCUCCUAAGAGCAGGUGCACCCCCCUCCCUGGGCCCACUGGGUGAGAACAAUGUCUCACACACAACAGAGGGCAGAUGAUGCCUGGUGACAGGGCGGAGCCGCAGUGGGAACAGAGGCCUUUGUGAGGGAUCUGUCCAUCAGCAAGAUAUCCCUUGGCACUGUUAGAGAGCACAUUUCUCGCUCAAUGGUCUGACUCAGAAUUGCUUUCCUUGUGCUGCUUAGAAGACCCCAUGAAGUCAUGGAUGAUGAGAUGUUCAUGGCCACAGAAUUCGCCUGCCUUGCUGCCACAAAACCUCUUCUGUAACAAAAUCAUGUUUUUCUAUUUAUUUGGGACUUGUUCUGAACACUUUUAUGACUUCUGAGCUAUUUUUAGCUCCCUUUUAAAAUUUCCUGAUGAUUCUUGUCUUACUUUCUGCAUGUUUUCUCCCAGGAUCUUUGGGGGUUGGGCUGGGCCCCUCUCUUGCUUUUAGUUGUCACUAGGCCACCAUUAAUGCCAUUGCAUUUCUGAAGAUCAGACCCUCUGGUCUGACACACUGAAGUUCUCUCCACCUUCAUCCUACACAUCCCUCAAACAUGUGUUAACAUUUCUUUUUAUCCCAAUAAUAGAGCACACCAUUUUUGGUUGUUUCAGUUGUUCCUAAUUAUGUUUUUGUAAAAAAUAUCAUCUCCUUUUGACUUCCCACUGUUUAAAUAUGUUAAGAGUCUUUGAGCUGCACUCAUUUUUAAAUUUAAUUUUCUUAUUUUUUAUAUUAUUAUUUUUUAGUGGCAGAUAGACACAAAAUCUUUAUUUAUUUUUAUGUGGUGCUGAAGAUUGAACUCAGUACCUCACACAUGCAAGGCAAGAGCUCUGCCAUUGAGCCCCAGCCCCAGCCCCUUAUUUGUUCUUUUUAGUUAUACUUGUAGUAGAAUGUACUUGGACAUAUCAUACACAUAUGGGAACUGCGCCCUUAAAAAUAAGUUAGUAUGUAUUAAUUUUUAUUUUUGUAUUGAAUUACUUAUCCCUCACUCCUUAAUUUUGUAGUAGCUCUUCUACAAUUACAAUAAAGGAACCAUAUUCUUUUAUUUAGAUUCAAUUCUGAGUAUCUAGUUUCAAGUAAUUUCCUAAGUAGCGCAGGAAAACACAUUCUUAAAGUGCAGAGUUUUUAAAGCAAAAUUUCUGAAUGUGUAGACUGACAACCUCUCUGUUACUAGAAAAUAGAUUUUAUUAAAAAAGAAUUUCCUACAUGUAUGAAGUCAUGAAGGAUGUGACUCUACUUUGUUUACAACCACAGAUGAAAAGUUAUGCUCUAUAUGUG